rnacentral:rRNA from 1 species
UACGGGGGGAGCAAGCGUUGUUCGGAUUUACUGGGCGUAAAGGGCGCGUAGGCGGCCACCGCAAGUCGACUGUGAAAUCUCCGGGCUUAACCCGGAACGGUCAGCCGAUACUGCGGGGCUAGAGUGCAGAAGGGGCAACUGGGAAUUCUCGGUGUAGCGGUGAAAUGCGUAGAUAUCGAGAGGAACACCUGCGGCGAAGGCGGGUUGCUGGGCUGACACUGACGCUGAGGCGCGAAAGCUAGGGGAGCGAACGGG